GUUUUUCAUGGAAAGCUUUUCUGUCCGCACUUUGCCGGUGGCAAUAGGAAGGGAAACUGCAUGCUUAAGAAGGAUCUUCUACCUCCAUCUGAACUAUCACCAACUCUAGCUGAUGGAACCUCAGUUUAAGGUCUCAUCCAAAGGACGACAUACUCGGGAGUGGAGUACCACCCUUAUGUUGGACUGUAUCAUCAGCAAUCCAUCUAUCUGGUGUGGGAAUAGAACCCCAAUAUUCUGCAACAAGGGAAGGCAAGCACCACCCCCGUGCACUAACGCUGAUGAUGAUCUACUUCACCAAAGAGAGAAUCCUCUCCUUGAUAUACCAUUUUCAGAAUCAGUACAUAUUUCCCUCAUCACUUUUAAGCUUUCCCAAGUCGAGGACAGCACUUACAGUCACUGAACAUACUAAGAGAAGCCAUAUAUUAUCUGCAUUGAUUAUAAUACCAUUCUUUUACAAAUAACAAUUGUUUGGUGAAAACAAAAACUUUCCUACCAUAUCAUUUCUUUCACUCUUACAGUUAUGCAUUUAUUAAUCUUCUCACUCAUUUGCUGUUGGUGUUCACAACAGUGAGACCUAAUAUGAGUAACUCCCUUUAUACAGGUGUAAACCUGCAUACCUGCUUGAGUGACUUGUCCAGUCACGUUACCAAAAACAACGUUACGAUAUUAAGUGUGGAGAAAUAAACAAAGAUCUAAAAGUAAAAAAGAAACUUUUAUUUGAAUGAAAAUACGGACUCUUUAUUGCACACAUCCCAAAAUGUUAAGUGCUUUCAUCUCUCAACAUCAAUGGAAAUUCUUUAGAGGACUUGAAUGUUGUAAAAUCAGAGUUUAAAUAGGACAUACUCAUAACAUGAAGUGUAAGUUCACUUACAAACUCUGCAACCUGAUGAAAUCUAUCAAUGCAGAUACAUUUUUGUGAUGCAACAAAAUAAAAUCUAAGUGUCAUAUGUUUUGCCCCUUCAAAGUGAAAAAUAAGACAGGUGCAGGCAGAGAAGAGUGUGCUUUUCAGUUUAAGACAAAACUUGUAUUCAUUCAAGGAACAUUAUGUUUUAUUUUGUAUAAUGUCAGUAUUAAUGCAUUUAAACUAUUUGUACAUAACAGUAUGACCAAAGUACCAUGAAUGAUUUGUAGCUGUAUAAAACAUGAGGUAGCAUAGUGCAGUAUCUUAGCAAAGAGCACUGUAAAACUAAUUGCUUUCAUGAAUGUGAUUCAGUCAGCACAUCUGGCUUUUUGUUGCUCGUGAAUUUCUAUAAAUAAUGCAUACUUUAUCCACAGUAAUGUAUGCACUAUUCAUGACUGUCACAGGAGAACAAAGUGGAGUGUUACAACUUUAAGACAGCUGCCCAAAGGAACAGGAAUCCCAAAGCAUUCUGGUAAUUAAAACAUAUUUCACCAAUUGUA